UACGGAGGGAGCUAGCGUUGUUCGGAAUUACUGGGCGUAAAGCGCUCGUAGGCGGCCGUUCAAGUCAGAGGUGAAAGCUCGGGGCUCAACCCAGGAAUAGCCUUUGAAACUAGAUGGCUCGAAUCUUGGAGAGGUCAGUGGAAUUCCGAGUGUAGAGGUGAAAUUCGUAGAUAUUCGGAAGAACUCCAGUGGCGAAGGCGACUGACUGGACAAGUAUUGACGCUGAGGUGCGAAAGCGUGGGGAGCAAACAGG
rnacentral:rRNA from 1 species